rnacentral:rRNA from 1 species
CAUGCAAGUCGAACGAGAGAGAAGGAGCUUGCUUCUUCGAUCGAGUGGCGAACGGGUGAGUAACGCGUGAGGAACCUGCCUCAAAGAGGGGGACAACAGUUGGAAACGACUGCUAAUACCGCAUAAGCCCACGGGUCGGCAUCGACCUGAGGGAAAAGGAGUGAUCCGCUUUGAGAUGGCCUCGCGUCCGAUUAGCUAGUUGGUGAGGUAAUGGCCACCAAGGCGACGAUCGGUAGCCGGACUGAGAGGUUGAACGGCCACAUUGGGACUGAGACACGGCCCAGACUCCUACGGGAGGCAGCAGUGGGGAAUAUUGCACAAUGGGGGAAACCCUGAUGCAGCGACGCCGCGUGGAGGAAGAAGGUCUUCGGAUUGUAAACUCCUGUUGUUGAGGAAGAUAAUGACGGUACUCAACAAGGAAGUGACGGCUAACUACGUGCCAGCAGCCGCGGUAAAACGUAGGUCACAAGCGUUGUCCGGAAUUACUGGGUGUAAAGGGAGCGCAGGCGGGAAGACAAGUUGGAAGUGAAAUCUAUGGGCUCAACCCAUAAACUGCUUUCAAAACUGUUUUUCUUGAGUAGUGCAGAGGUAGGCGGAAUUCCCGGUGUAGCGGUGGAAUGCGUAGAUAUCGGGAGGAACACCAGUGGCGAAGGCGGCCUACUGGGCACCAACUGACGCUGAGGCUCGAAAGUGUGGGUAGCAAACAGGAUUAGAUACCCUGGUAGUCCACACCGUAAACGAUGAUUACUAGGUGUUGGAGGAUUGACCCCUUCAGUGCCGCAGUUAACACAAUAAGUAAUCCACCUGGGGAGUACGACCGCAAGGUUGAAACUCAA